GGCUCAGGACGAACGCUGGCGGCGUGCCUAACACGAUGCAAGUCGAGCGAUGAAGUCUCGGAACGGAUUAGCGGCGGACGGGUGAGUAACACGUGGGUAACCUGCCUUGUAGAGGGGGAUAGCCUUCCGAAAGGAAGAUUAAUACCGCAUAACAUCUUUUUAUCGCAUGGUAGAAAGAUCAAAGGAGUAAUCCGCUACAAGAUGGACCCGCGGCGCAUUAGCUAGUUGGUGAGGUAACGGCUCACCAAGGCGACGAUGCGUAGCCGACCUGAGAGGGUGAUCGGCCACAUUGGAACUGAGACACGGUCCAGACUCCUACGGGAGGCAGCAGUGGGGAAUAUUGCGCAAUGGGGGAAACCCUGACGCAGCAACGCCGCGUGAAUGAAGAUGGCCUUAGGGUUGUAAAGUUCUGUUUACGGGGACGAUAAUGACGGUACCCGUGGAGGAAGCCACGGCUAACUACGUGCCAGCCGCAGC
rnacentral:rRNA from 1 species